AUUUUUCUUCUCCGUAUAUGUAGGCCAGACUUGGUGAUUCACUUUUAAAGAACAGAAGAUGAGGAGCAAUGCUAUGUGACUUUCAAGGCUAGGUCAUAUAAAGAAUGGGUUCUGUCUGGCACUCUCUCUUGGACUACACAUUCUGGAGAAAACAGCAGCCACAUCAUGAGGACACUCAAGCAGUCCUGGGAGAGGUCCAUGUGGAGAGGAAUGAGGUCUUCUGACAACAGCCAGCACUAACUUACCAUCCAUGCAUGGCAACACAAUUUCCUCAGUUCGUGAACCACAGGUGAGC
rnacentral:lncRNA from 1 species